AUCCAGUUGACGAGUCCCAAAUAGGACGAAAUGUGUAUCCUGACUGGAU
rfam:Trichobilharzia regenti genome assembly, scaffold: TRE_scaffold0076640